CACCCGCCUCGGCCUCCCAAAGUGCUGGGAUUACAGGCUUGAGCCACCACACCUGGCCCGGAACCCAUUUCUUUAUAAGCCUCUGCCUAUGGCGCGGCAGGGCGGGUGAAGGGGCUCUCGUGGCCUGAAGCUGUGGUAAAGCUGCUCUGACUUACCUGCAGCAGAGGGGAGCAGUAGGGCCCAGAAAAACCUUUCCUCAACUCUUCAACUGCCUCACGACAUGGUCCCACUCUACCUCCUAGGGUCCCCUAUCUCCUUUCCCUCACCCCUAAUUACUGCCCUUUUACAUUCUAACCUAUCCCCUCACCUCUGCCACUUACAUGUCCCAUCUACCACUUUUCUAGUGUCUCCUUUGGUCCCAGCACCUCCCUCCUCUCAAACUCCAGUAUCCAGCACACCCGUGGGUGCCCAGCACUGCCUUUGAGGAGGCUCCUUCUACCUAAACCAGGUGUCCUAUGGGCCAUCUUGUAUCAGCUAGGCUGUGGACACCAAGAAUCCAGAAUCUGGGUUCACUUAGUGUGCUGCACCCCUUUUCUGCUCCCUGAUAGGUGUUCCACAUAAGCCAGGGUGGUGAAGCUGAGGCAGGAUGUGAGGAGACCAGGCACACAGCAGCCAGCCGGAUACUCUAGCAACCAACACUCAACGGCGUGCUGUGCAGAUGAGGAGACUGAAGCACAGGGGGCUUAAGUGACCAGUCUGCGUCCCACAGACGGCACCAGGCAGCUGAACAAGUGCCCCACCUCCCCAGUGCUGACUGACCCUGUGCUCCAUCCACCCCAUCUGGUCCACAGGAAGGAAAUACCUGGGCUUUCUUCACCCCGCACCCAGGACCGGCCCAGCUGCUUCAACUUCCCUGACAAGGCCUUCCUUGGACACAGGAGUGCAGCAUGUGGGCAGACCCCAUGCCCCAGUACCCUACCAGGCCCAGGGAGCCCUGUUCUCACAGCUCCCUUUGCCUCCUCUAACCUUGGAAGGACAUUUUAACAAUGGCGACUCACCCGACUCAUCUCCCAGUGGGACAGGCUUCGGGGCAAGGCUGGGCUGGGGACCGAGGCUAGACAGAAACAGGCAGUCAGAGGAAGUGUCUCCUGCCCCCCCCUCCCCACCCAACCCUGGAGCCCUGGCCCCAUCAGCCCAUACCCUGUGUGGCCACAAUGAUGCCUCAGUUUCCUCAGCUCACACUGCUCUCACCCCACAGUCUCAGAAAAACCAUAUCUAGCCAUUAUACCAACUAGGGCCUGUCUGCCCCCACACCCAACUGCCACAGACCCAGUGCCUUCUUGGUA